UGCGUAGGGGGCAAGCGUUGUCCGGAUUUAUUGGGCGUAAAGAGCGUGUAGGCGGCCAGGUAGGUCUGCUGUGAAAACUCGAGGCUCAACCUCGAGACGUCGGUUGAAACCGUCUGGCUAGAGUCCGGAAGAGGAGAGUGGAAUUCCCGGUGUAGCGGUGAAAUGCGCAGAUAUCGGGAAGAACACCCGUGGCGAAGGCGGCUCUCUGGGACGGUACUGACGCUGAGACGCGAAAGCGUGGGGAGCGAACAGG
rnacentral:rRNA from 1 species